rnacentral:rRNA from 1 species
AGCGCAUACGGUGGAUGCCUUGGCAGUCAGAGGCGAUGAAAGACGUGGUAGCCUGCGAAAAGCUUCGGGGAGUCGGCAAACAGACUUUGAUCCGGAGAUGUCUGAAUGGGGGAACCCAGCCAUCAUAAGAUGGUUAUCUUGUACUGAAUACAUAGGUGCAAGAGGCGAACCAGGGGAACUGAAACAUCUAAGUACCCUGAGGAAAAGAAAUCAACCGAGAUUCCCUUAGUAGUGGCGAGCGAACGGGGACUAGCCCUUAAGCGGUUUUGAGAUUAGCGGAACGCUCUGGAAAGUGCGGCCAUAGUGGGUGAUAGCCCUGUACGCGAAAAUCUCUUUACCGUGAAAUCGAGUAGGACGGGGCACGAGAAACCUUGUCUGAAUAUGGGGGGACCAUCCUCCAAGGCUAAAUACUACUGACUGACCGAUAGUGAACUAGUACCGUGAGGGAAAGGCGAAAAGAACCCCGGAGAGGGGAGUGAAAUAGAUCCUGAAACCGUAUGCGUACAAGCAGUGGGAGCCCACUUUGUUGGGUGACUGCGUACCUUUUGUAUAAUGGGUCAGCGACUUAUUUUCAGUGGCGAGCUUAACCGAAUAGGGGAGGCGUAGCGAAAGCGAGUCUUAAUAGGGCGUCUAGUCGCUGGGAAUAGACCCGAAACCGGGCGAUCUAUCCAUGGGCAGGUUGAAGGUUGGGUAACACUAACUGGAGGACCGAACCGACUACCGUUGAAAAGUUAGCGGAUGACCUGUGGAUCGGAGUGAAAGGCUAAUCAAGCUCGGAGAUAGCUGGUUCUCCUCGAAAGCUAUUUAGGUAGCGCCUCAUGUAUCACUGUAGGGGGUAGAGCACUGUUUCGGCUAGGGGGUCAUCCCGACUUACCAAACCGAUGCAAACUCCGAAUACCUACAAGUGCCGAGCAUGGGAGACACACGGCGGGUGCUAACGUCCGUCGUGAAAAGGGAAACAACCCAGACCGUCAGCUAAGGUCCCAAAGUUAUGGUUAAGUGGGAAACGAUGUGGGAAGGCUUAGACAGCUAGGAGGUUGGCUUAGAAGCAGCCACCCUUUAAAGAAAGCGUAAUAGCUCACUAGUCGAGUCGGCCUGCGCGGAAGAUGUAACGGGGCUCAAACCAUACACCGAAGCUACGGGUAUCACUUAGGUGAUGCGGUAGAGGAGCGUUCUGUAAGCCUGUGAAGGUGAGUUGAGAAGCUUGCUGGAGGUAUCAGAAGUGCGAAUGCUGACAUGAGUAACGACAAUGGGUGUGAAAAACACCCACGCCGAAAGACCAAGGUUUCCUGCGCAACGUUAAUCGACGCAGGGUUAGUCGGUCCCUAAGGCGAGGCUGAAAAGCGUAGUCGAUGGAAAACAGGUUAAUAUUCCUGUACUUCUGGUUAUUGCGAUGGAGGGACGGAGAAGGCUAGGCCAGCUUGGCGUUGGUUGUCCAAGUUUAAGGUGGUAGGCUGGAAUCUUAGGUAAAUCCGGGAUUCUAAGGCCGAGAGCUGAUGACGAGUGUUCUUUUAGAACACGAAGUGGUUGAUGCCAUGCUUCCAAGAAAAGCUUCUAAGCUUCAGGUAACCAGGAACCGUACCCCAAACCGACACAGGUGGUUGGGUAGAGAAUACCAAGGCGCUUGAGAGAACUCGGGUGAAGGAACUAGGCAAAAUGGCACCGUAACUUCGGGAGAAGGUGCGCCGGUGAGGGUGAAGGACUUGCUCCGUAAGCUCAUGCCGGUCGAAGAUACCAGGCCGCUGCGACUGUUUAUUAAAAACACAGCACUCUGCAAACACGAAAGUGGACGUAUAGGGUGUGACGCCUGCCCGGUGCCGGAAGGUUAAUUGAUGGGGUUAGCUAACGCGAAGCUCUUGAUCGAAGCCCCGGUAAACGGCGGCCGUAACUAUAACGGUCCUAAGGUAGCGAAAUUCCUUGUCGGGUAAGUUCCGACCUGCACGAAUGGCGUAACGAUGGCGGCGCUGUCUCCACCCGAGACUCAGUGAAAUUGAAAUCGCUGUGAAGAUGCAGUGUAUCCGCGGCUAGACGGAAAGACCCCGUGAACCUUUACUAUAGCUUUGCACUGGACUUUGAAUUUGCUUGUGUAGGAUAGGUGGGAGGCUUUGAAGCGUGGACGCCAGUUCGCGUGGAGCCAACCUUGAAAUACCACCCUGGCAACUUUGAGGUUCUAACUCAGGUCCGUUAUCCGGAUCGAGGACAGUGUAUGGUGGGUAGUUUGACUGGGGCGGUCUCCUCCUAAAGAGUAACGGAGGAGUACGAAGGUGCGCUCAGACCGGUCGGAAAUCGGUCGUAGAGUAUAAAGGCAAAAGCGCGCUUGACUGCGAGACAGACACGUCGAGCAGGUACGAAAGUAGGUCUUAGUGAUCCGGUGGUUCUGUAUGGAAGGGCCAUCGCUCAACGGAUAAAAGGUACUCCGGGGAUAACAGGCUGAUACCGCCCAAGAGUUCAUAUCGACGGCGGUGUUUGGCACCUCGAUGUCGGCUCAUCACAUCCUGGGGCUGAAGCCGGUCCCAAGGGUAUGGCUGUUCGCCAUUUAAAGUGGUACGCGAGCUGGGUUUAGAACGUCGUGAGACAGUUCGGUCCCUAUCUGCCGUGGACGUUUGAGAUUUGAGAGGGGCUGCUCCUAGUACGAGAGGACCGGAGUGGACGAACCUCUGGUGUUCCGGUUGUCACGCCAGUGGCAUUGCCGGGUAGCUAUGUUCGGGAAAGAUAACCGCUGAAAGCAUCUAAGCGGGAAACUUGCCUCAAGAUGAGAUCUCACUGGAACCUUGA